CCGUUCUUGUGUUAUUUGCUGGUUGUUGUACCCAAAACCUGCGAUUGUCAAACAGAACGAAUAGAAAAGGCAGCUAAUCACUCCAUAAUGUUGAGCCGACUUUUCAGGGCUUCAGCAUUACUAAAUGUAUGCCACAUUC
rfam:Drosophila ficusphila unplaced genomic scaffold scf7180000454106, whole genome shotgun sequence